rnacentral:rRNA from 1 species
UGGAAGCGUUCUUAGCGGCGGACGGGUGAGUAACACGUGGGUAACCUGCCUCAAAGUGGGGGAUAGCCUUCCGAAAGGAAGAUUAAUACCGCAUAAGCCUACAGUGCCGCAUGGCACCGUAGGAAAAGGAGCAAUCCGCUUUGAGAUGGACCCGCGGCGCAUUAGCUAGUUGGUGAGGUAACGGCUCACCAAGGCGACGGUGCGUAGCCGACCUGAGAGGGUGAUCGGCCACAUUGGAACUGAGACACGGUCCAGACUCCUACGGGAGGCAGCAGUGGGGAAUAUUGCACAAUGGGCGAAAGCCUGAUGCAGCAACGCCGCGUGAGUGAUGAAGGCCUUCGGGUCGUAAAGCUCUUUGAUCAGGGAUGAUAAUGACAGUACCUGAAAAACAAGCCACGGCUAACUACGUGCCAGCAGCCGCGGUAAUACGUAGGUGGCGAGCGUUGUCCGGAAUUACUGGGCGUAAAGGAUGCGUAGGUGGAUACUUAAGUGGGAUGUGAAAUCCCCGGGCUCAACCCGGGAACUGCAUUCCAAACUGGGUAUCUAGAGUGCAGGAGAGGAAAGCGGAAUUCCUAGUGUAGCGGUGAAAUGCGUAGAUAUUAGGAGGAACACCAGUGGCGAAGGCGGCUUUCUGGACUGUAACUGACACUGAGGCAUGAAAGCGUGGGUAGCAAACAGGAUUAGAUACCCUGGUAGUCCACGCCGUAAACGAUGGGUACUAGGUGUAGGAGGUAUCGACCCCUUCUGUGCCGUCGUUAACACAAUAAGUACCCCGCCUGGGGGAGUACGGUCGCAAGACUAAAACUCAAAGGAAUUGACGGGGGCCCGCACAAGCAGCGGAGCAUGUGGUUUAAUUCGAAGCAACGCGAAGAACCUUACCUAGACUUGACAUCUCCUGAAUUACCCUUAACCGGGGAAGCCCUUCGGGGCAGGAAGACAGGUGGUGCAUGGUUGUCGUCAGCUCGUGUCGUGAGAUGUUGGGUUAA